rnacentral:rRNA from 1 species
UACGUAGGUGGCAAGCGUUGUCCGGAAUUAUUGGGCGUAAAGAGCUCGUAGGCGGCUUGGCAAGUCGGAUGUGAAAACUCCAGGCUCAACCUGGAGCCGCCAUUCGAUACUGCUAUGGCUAGAGUCCGGUAGGGGAGUGUGGAAUUCCCGGUGUAGCGGUGAAAUGCGCAGAUAUCGGGAGGAACACCGAUGGCGAAGGCAGCACUCUGGGCCGGUACUGACGCUGAGGAGCGAAAGCGUGGGGAGCGAACAGG